GCACCUGCCAACGACGCAGGGUUCCGAACAGUGGAGACCAUCUCAGUGCACGGAGAAGGUUUCACUCUACAUGGCGACAAACACAACAGUUACUCAAGAAUACAAUUAAGAAGUGGAACAAAAUACCAGGUAAACUUCGCCAUGUCCACCCUGAGAUGCAGACUACAACAGGAAUUCACUGGCUAGCAUGAAACCUAGUCGUGGAAGGCUUGGGGUGUGCAUUCAUGUUUUGCAGCCAAGAAAAUUGAAAAACAAGCAUGGAAUGCAACAGCAUCAUGGAAGCAAAGAAAAUAAAAACUAA